AACGAACGCUGGCGGCAUGCCUAACACAUGCAAGUCGAACGAGACCUUCGGGUCUAGUGGCGCACGGGUGCGUAACGCGUGGGAACCUGCCCUUAGGUUCGGAAUAACUCCCCGAAAGGGGUGCUAAUACCGGAUAAUGUCUUCGGACCAAAGAUUUAUCGCCUUUGGAUGGGCCCGCGUUGGAUUAGCUAGUUGGUAGGGUAAAAGCCUACCAAGGCGACGAUCCAUAGCUGGCCUGAGAGGAUGAUCAGCCACACUGGGACUGAGACACGGCCCAGACUCCUACGGGAGGCGGCAGUGGGGAAUAUUGGACAAUGGGCGAAAGCCUGAUCCAGCAAUGCCGCGUGAGUGAUGAAGGCCUUAGGGUUGUAAAGCUCUUUUACCCGGGAUGAUAAUGACAGUACCGGGAGAAUAAGCUCCGGCUAACUCCGUG
rnacentral:rRNA from 1 species